UUCUCGCCCAUAGGGAAAUGUAAGACCCCCGAAGGGAGACCCUCACUCAAAUCUUGGGAGUAGCGCUCACCCAGUGAGGCACCGAGACCG
rnacentral:pre_miRNA from 11 species